rnacentral:rRNA from 1 species
UACGUAGGGGGCAAGCGUUGUCCGGAAUCAUUGGGCGUAAAGCGCGUGUAGGCGGCUGAGUAAGUCUGCUCUGAAAGCCCGGGGCUCAACCCCGGGAGGCGGGUGGAUACUGCUCAGCUCGAGUCCGGAAGAGGAGUGUGGAAUUCCUGGUGUAGCGGUGAAAUGCGCAGAUAUCAGGAGGAACACCGAUGGCGAAGGCAGGUCUCUGGGCCACUACUGACGCUGAGAAGCGAAAGCAUGGGGAGCGAACAGG